rnacentral:rRNA from 1 species
CUAACGAUGUGCCGGAAGCAGCGGUAAUACAGAGGGUGCGGGCGUUAAUCGGAAGUACUGGGCGUAAAGCGAGUGUAGGUAGCUCAUUGAGUCACAUGUGAAAUCCCCGGGCUUAACCUGGGAACUGCAUGUGAUACUGGUGGUGCUAGAAUAUGUGAGAGGGAAGUAGAAUUCCAGGUGUAGCGGUGAAAUGCGUAGAGAUCUGGAGGAAUACCGAUGGCGAAGGCAGCUUCCUGGCAUAAUAUUGACACUGAGAUUCGAAAGCGUGGGUAGCAAACAGGAUUAGAUACCCUUGUAGUC